rnacentral:lncRNA from 1 species
CCCUAGUGGACAUCUUAUUUCAUCUUCAUAGGGCGCCAUCCCCUAGUGGACAUCUUAUUUCGUCUUCAUAGGGCGUCAUCCCCUAGUUGACAUCUUAUUUCAUCUUCAUAGGGCGUCAUCCCCUAGUUGACAUCUUAUAUCGUCUUCAUAGGGCGACAUCCCCUAGUUGACAUCUUAUUUAGUCUUCAUAGGGUGUCAUCCCCUAUUUGAUAUUUUAUUUCGUCUUC